GCUGGUGUAGCUCAGCUUGGCUAGAGCAGCUGAUUUGUAAUCAGCAGGUCGGGGGUUCGAGUCCCUUCACCAGCUCCA
rnacentral:tRNA from 6 species